rnacentral:tRNA from 1 species
CCUGGUUUGGCUCAGUGGGUAGAGCAUCGGCCUGCAGACUGAAGGGUCCUGGGUUCAAUUCCUAGUCAGGG